GUACACGCUGUGACUAGCAUAUCAAUAAGCGGAGGAAAAGAAACUAACAAGGAUUCCCCUAGUAACGGCGAGUGAAGCGGGAAGAGCUCAAAUUUGAAAUCUUAAAGGGUUUCCCUUUACGAAUUGUAGUUUAAAGAAGUGUUUUCUGUUGAGGUUUUGGUAAAAGUUCUUUGGAAUAGGACAUCAUAGAGGGUGAGAAUCCCGUAUUUGACCUUUACUUUCAACUUUGUGAUACACUUUCAAAGAGUCGGAUUGUUUGGGAAUGCAGUCCAAAAUGGGUGGUAAAUUUCAUCUAAAGCUAAAUAUUGGCGAGAGACCGAUAGCGAACAAGUACCGUGAGGGAAAGAUGAAAAGAACUUUGAAAGGAGAGUUAAACAGUACGUGAAAUUGUCAAAAGGGAAGCGUUUGACACCAGUGUUGUUUUUCUGAAAAUCAAUUAAAGAACUGUUUAUGCUAAGUUGUUUAGACUUUAUCAGCUAUCUGCUUAGUUUUGAGCUUUUCUUUAAUGCACUUUUCAGUUAACAAGUCAACAUCAAUUUCUUUUGCUGUAAAAAAGCCUGAGGAAGGUGGCUUGAGAUUCGUCUUAAGUGUUUAUAGCCUCUUGCCUAUGCAGUCGGAGAGAUUGAGGUCUGCAGCGUAGAUCCUUCGGGGCUAAAUGCAUUUGUGCUAAGUUAUAGCAUUUUAUAGACAACUUGUUGACUAUGAUUUGUCUUGUAGCUUACUCGCUUAUGUUAUUUUACCUACGCUUAGGAUGUUGAUAUGCAUGACUGAUAU
rnacentral:rRNA from 1 species